AGCCUCUGGAAAACAGGCUUCUCUCCAGCUGCCAGGAGUGGCCCAGGCUGGGCGAGCGGCGCGUCGGAGCCAGGGCGCGCGGAGCCGCUCCCAGUUCACGGGCAGAGAAUGAAAAUGUAAUUGUCUCCAGCGCAGCCACCCACUACCGCCCACAUCUACAAAGAGCGGCAGGGCCUGGAGUGCUUCAGGUGACCUGCAGGAGAACUGGUGUCCUUACCACAGAGCUGUACACAUACUUGGCCUGGGACUCAGAGAAACAAAAGGAGGCGACCUAGCAGGAACCAGGGAGGCUACGGGUCCGGGUGCUGCCCCCAAACCAACAAGGCAAGUUAGCAGAUCAAUCUGGGACUUGCCUGGUGGCAAAGUGGUUAAGAAUCCGCCUGCCAAUGUGAGAGGACAGGAGUUCGAGCCCUGGUCCGGGAAGAUCCCACAUGCCGUGGAGCAACUAAGCCCGUGCGCCACAACUACUGAAGCCCACGCGCCGAGAGCCUGUGCUCUGCCACAAGAGGAGCCACCGCAAUGAGAAGUCUGCGCACCACAAUGAAGAGUAGCCCCUGCUUGCCGCAACUAGAGAAAGCCUGCAGGCAGCAACGAAGACCCAACGCAGCCAAAAAUAUAAAUAAAUAAAUAAAUUUAUUUUUUAAAAAAGUAAAUAAAAGAUCAG